CAGAUUGAGUUGGGGGCUUACACCGUUAGCAUAACCCCCACAUUCCAUACCUACCUUUCUCCUCUCAUUAGUCCCUCUAUUCCCCGGGACAAUUUCACUUCUCUUUUGUACCAUUCAUAUAUAUACAUGUGUGUGUGUGUGUAUAUAUAUAUGUGUGUGUGUGUGUGUGUGUGUGUGUGUGUGUGUGUGUGUGUGUGUGUGAUAUUUUUAUUUACCUAUAUUGUUAGUGUACAGCCAAUUGUUAGUAGUACAGUGAUUCAGCUGGCCUGCUCUCAGGGACCUAGUAAAGGCUUAGUUAAAUCACCUGCUCAUGCUGUCUUUUUUCUAAUAUAUAUUUUUUGCAUCUUUGCCAAAAGUCUCAUGAUUUCGCCUGUGUGGAUUAGUGUUGUGGAUAGCCCUGGGUCUAAUUACAUUUGAUUUUAAUUCUGUUCUCCUGUGAGGGGUUGUGAACAAGAAAUGAGUCAGCACUCAGGUGAUUUCCUGUAAACCUGCUUCCCACCUUAAUUUGUAAAAUAAAGGAGAGCUGUCAAUUGGGCAGAUAAAGGAAAGGUGGAGUGGAAGGUGAGGAGAGAGAAGAAGGAAAAAAAUGGGAGAGGGGGAGGACAUAGAGGAGGAGGAGGAGGAGGAAGAAAAGCAGCACAAAAGCACAUGGCCUGGAGAAACCACAAGUUCUAAGGGGUCUCAUAGAUGUGGAAGAUGGUAGAGUAGCGGAAGAUCUGCCCAAUCUAGGUGCACAGCAUGUAUUCAUAUUAACUGAGUUGUGUUUUCAUUGCUGGGGUAUAUUUGGGUUGGAGAUUUACCGCAACAGGUUAGUGUCUGGGCUUCUAUUCUAUUUACCUGUGUUUCUUAUUUUGUUGUUGUUGAUGCUGUUACUAUGUCUCAAUAAUAUAAUUUCAAAUCAUGUUGAUGAUACCCCCAGCAUUGCUCUUUGGUCAAGAUUACUCUUUAGCUAUCUGGGAUCUCUUGUAUCCUCAAGGUAUAUAUGUGUGUGUGUGUGUGUGUGUGUAUUGGGGUGUGCACAUGUGAUUGCAGUGCCUGUGGAGGCCAGAAGAGAUCACCCACAGCUGGAAUUACAGUUUGUUGUGGGUUCCCAGGUCUGGUUGCUGGGUUGCAAACUCCAGUUCUCUAGAAGAGCAGUAUAUGAUCCUAAUUCCUGCACCAGUUCUCCAACACAUCU
ensembl:lincRNA Gm44226 predicted gene, 44226